UUUUGGUAAUUUUUGUAGAAACAGGUUCAUAAUUGUGUUGCCCAGGCUGGUCUUAAACUCCUGGGCUCAGGCUGUCCUUCACCCUCAGCCUCCCAAAGUGCUGAGAUUACAGGCAUGAGCCACCGUGCCUGGUUCAUGAAGUCUUUAGCAGAAAAAUUAAUUGAAAUUCAGGAUCACAUUUUUGUUUAUAUACAUUUUGAAGGUUUAUAUGUAGUAAUGGGAAGCCAUUGAUGGGGAAAAUCACAUUUAUGUGAUUUUUCAAAAGGAGAUAAUUUGCUUUAAUGUGAUCAAGUUUGUUCCUUAUUAAUAUGCUACUUGUCAUUCUCUGUAAGUCCCUCUUCUCUCUUCACUCUGCACAAAUCCUGUUUUUGAAAAUCAUAUUUUUUCUACACAUAGGGAGAAGAGAAGUUUACCUUUAUUGAGAAAUGUAACAACCCUCGUUCUGUCACAUUAUUGAUCAAAGGACCAAAUAAGCACACACUCACUCAGAUCAAAGAUGCAGUGAGGGAUGGCUUGAGGGCUGUCAAAAAUGCUAUUGAUGAUGGCUGUGUGGUUCCAGGUGCUGGUGCCGUGGAAGUGGCAAUGGCAGAAGCCCUGAUUAAACAUAAGCCCAGUGUAAAGGGCAGGGCACAGCUUGGAGUCCAAGCAUUUGCUGAUGCAUUGCUCAUUAUUCCCAAG
rnacentral:sRNA from 1 species